CAUAAAUCAAUAUUUGGUGGAAUAACCCUGUUGGUUUUUAAUCACAGUUUUCAUGCAUCUUGGCAUCAUGUUCUCCUCCACCAGCCUUACACACUGCUUUUGGAUAACUUUAUGCUUUACACUCCUGGUGCAAAAUUUCAAGCAGUUCAGUUUGGUUUGAUGGCUUGUGAUCAUCCAUCUUCCUCUUGAUUAUAUUCCAGAGGUUUUCAAUUUGGUAAAAUCAAAAAAACAUAUAAUUUUACACGUUACACCUCUAGUAGCUACUCUUGAACUCAUUGUGGGCAGAGCUUGUGUACAGGUUGAUUCUAGGUUGGGUGACCAAUGUGAUCCAUGCGGUUUAUUGUUUAUUGCUUGUACAGAUUCAGCAUUGUGCUUUUACUUUAUGAACAAAUGUAUUGCAUUCUCUAACUGUCCACUAGGUGGCGCCGUAUCUGUUCUUGAGCUCUCAUUAAGUUUACAGUAAUUCUUUUCUUUCUGUUUUUCUGUUUGUCAGUCAGGAAUGUUCACCGUAUUUGUGCUUUUCAGAGAACGGUUUCAGGUCUGUGCUGGACGUGCUUCGCUAAUCGUUCUUACGACAAAAUUCCUUCGUAAAAACCUACUUACGCAGUUUUUUUUUUUUUUUUGGAAUUUUUUUUCUUAUUUGGAAUUUGAUCAGUUUGGGGAAACAGUGAAAUACAUCACAAUUCUGUGCUUUAAAAAUGCCUUGUGUUCGUUAGGACUUCGUAAAAAGUUCGUAAGAAGAUAUGACCUCCUUUAAUAAGUGUCUAAAGUGAAGAUAUAAUCCCAGAUCAACUAUGCAGGUGUAUUGUAUUCUUAUGGAGACUAUAAUUAUAUAAAUCCUUUAUAAUCCUGUAUAUUCGGUUAUACCCUUUAAACUACCUUAUAUUUACACUGCAUUUAAUUUGUAUUUAGUGUAUUACAUCCUUUUUACAGUUUAUUUAAAGGGUAUCUAAAUAAGGGGCUUCAUAAAACAUUAAUAAACAUUGAAUAGCCCAUUUCUGAAGCAUUAUUUAUGUAUUAAUGAAGAGCUUAUGCCAUUACACGCAACAUAAAAUAAGACUUAAGUAAUCUAUAGUAUAAACUAAAUGAAAAUGUAUUCAUAAAACAUAAGCAUAAGUGUUGCAUAUUAUAUUAAUAAAGCUUUAUAAAUAGGGUUUAUAAGAGAGAACAUUUAAUUGAUCUUAUUUAAUGCAUAAAAGAACAUUUUCCAAUACAUAACAUACUGUUUACUGAAUUGUGCUUAAAGCAGAAAUUGUUAUAUAUAGAAAAAUAGCAUAAUCAAGGCAUAAAUAUCCAAUUAUUGCUUUAAAAAUACAUUAUUUUUUAAUGUUUAUCAAUGUGUUUUGAAGCUUCUAUGUAGGUAGCCUUCAAACAAAAUGUAAGCAGAUUAUUGGUCAGUACUUUUCUUCCAUUUUUUUUUUGAAAAUUUGCAUACUUUACAACCAAAAUCUAGGAUUUCAAAGGCUUUUCUGCUUUCUGAAGUGUAGGCCAAACUCACUUUAUUGUGUAAGGAAUAGAAUUAAGUAGAAAUGUUAAGAUCUGGUAAAUUUGAGAUGUAUCAAUGUUUUGGCAACCAAAAUUAUUUAGCUAAAAAAAUAGCCAAAAAAUCACUUUUAUUUGUUAUGAUAAUUUAUACUGCAUAAUGACUAAAACAUUUAAAGCCAGAUUACGAUUUUCCUUUCUCUUUGAAAAGCAAGGCAAACAUCAAUUGAGGCGUUUUAGUUCAUUUAAUGGUGAAAAAAGUGAAAAAUAGUGAAAAUCUGCAAAAACAACCUGUUCACUAUUUAAUAUUCAGCGUUCAGCCAGAUGUUUCAUUUUGUUAGUUUCGGUUUCAACCAAAAAUCUUCAUUUUGAUGCAUCUGUGCUGCUGAUGUCUCUAUAUUAUGCCGGAUUGUUCUGCAUUGAAUUUUUUUUUUUAUAUUUGAUGGCAAACUCCUUCUUUACUUUAUGUCCAAAUGUUGUGAAGAAUGGUACAGUAGAAAUGCUUUAAAAUGACUUAAAAUCAAUUGUUUUUCUUGUUUUUUUUUUUGUUUUUUUUGUUUGUUUUUUGUUUUGUUUAGUUUUACCCCACAGUUUAGUGACUUGGAUCUAUGUGGGUUGAGUUUUCCUAUACUUCACACUGAUUGGUUGUUUUGUAGAAUGUUGGUAAUUGUGCAACUUGCCUUUUUUUUUUUUUUUUUUGUGAAUUCUGAAUUCUGCCUAUAAUGCAGCAGUAUGGGUAGGGUGGGAGAUAUGACCCUAAAAUAGUAUCACGAUAUUUUAUGGGAUUUUUGCCAUAACGAUAUACUUGGCGAUAUGAGAAAACACUGAAUUUAAAAAUAUAUAUUUCAAGAAAUCACUACUGCAAUAAACUGAAAACUAAAUUUUAUUACUAAGAUAUUAAAAAAUACAAGAAUUUUAUAAGAUUUGUAACAGAAGUCAAUGAUCCAGAAUGUCAUAAUACUAAUAAUAUUAAUAAAGCACUCCAAAUAUCUCCAUAUAUCCAGAACUAAAUUAAAAUAAAUUAUGAUACUGGAAAGAUAUAAUCUCUAUAGUCUCUAGUAGAUAUACAGUAUAAUACAGUAUGAAUGGUUCUUGCUAAAAACAGUAAAAAAAAAAAAAAAAAAAAGUAGUACCCUGAUGUGAUAAUUAGGGGUGGGUAAUAUGGCACCAUAUUUCAGGGUAUAUAUUAAAAAAUGUUGGCGAUAUUAUUAUUCUGUAUCUACUGUAACUGUAGAUUAAUCUGGGGGACAUCUGUUACACUCAUUCUGCUGGAAGUCAGAAUUCGGCACGACACCUGUACUACUACUACUUCUUCUUCUUCUUCUAUUGUUUAACAGUUGAGCAUGGUAGCCUACCGUACCUUCCUGUAAUUGGUCUGAAAGCUUAAACCAUCUAGAACAAGGCAUUCACACUGCAGAUGAUCCAAACCAUUUUCACACCUGCAGUUGGUUUCUAUGGUCCGUAUCAGUUGACAAGUUAUUUAGAGCGUUUCUCCCUCUGUUUGGUUUGUUUUCACACAGGCAAAAACCUAAACGCAGCAAAAUGUGCACCAAUAAACCAUGUGAGCACAUUGUCCCCUCAUUUAAACAAAGUGUAUUUGAUAGCUGGGUUGGAUUGAGACCGGAUUACGUUCUCACUAUAGCAGGUCUCGGCCCUAUUAUUUUGAUCCGCAUCCGAUUGCGAAUACUGUUUUCACACCUGCUUAGUCAAACCACACUAAUGGUACAAACGAACCAGAGUCCGUUUUAACUGGACAAAGGCCACCUCGUCUGAUUGGACCAAAUUUUGGCCCUUUGGAGCUUGGCUUAAGGUACCACACCCUUCUAGAGCCUGCAUCAGCACUCUGGUGCUCCAUAUUGCGAGUACUUUAGUUUAGUGCGUCGGCCAGGCGUUGGGUUGCAGCACCAAACGUUAAAGAUUUAGCCUCCCAUUAAGGUAGUGAGGUGACCCAGGUCAGUCCUGGUAAAAGGAGCUGGGUGGAAACCUUGCGAAGCUGUGAAGUGCGCAGGCUGUUCCAGGUAAAGCGAUAUCUUGAAGGAUAAUCUCAUUGUCAGCUUUCUUUUUUUUGUCACCUCAAAUGGCAUUCGUUUCUGUUUUAGAGCUGUCUGAAUACUGUACACUGUCAACAGUAACAGUAUACGUUUCUUGAGGAACUUUUAGAGCUUUUUUCAUUUGAAACUGUGGAGGAAUCUCUUUUUAGAAAGUGUUUUUCUUGUAAAAGCUUAUUUUGAAGGUUCUUUUAUUGUUUAAAACCAGUAAGGAAUUUUAAAGUGAUGCUUUUAACCAAGUCUCAGAGCACAUUCAGGAUGAACUCUUGCUACAGUGCUGGUUUUCCCCAUUGCUUUUCCUCUUCAAAUGCUUUUUAACCAGAGUGUGAGAUGCCUCGUGCUGUUCAGAGAUUUGCCAAGACUGUUAACACAUAAUACCUGUGGUUUUGCAUGGUAGAGUCUCAGAAAUGUGUUUUUCACUUGCGCAUUGAGCUCUAGUGAUGGCUAUGUGAUCUCCUAAGCUCUGCUCUGGCACAGCGAGGUACUGUUACACAUAUCUGAGAUUCACAGGAAGUAACGGUGGCUUGUUUACAGAUUGGGUUCGAGUUGUGCCUGUUGAGAGUCUUGUGUUGGAAAAGCAUUGGUGUGUAACAGGAGAGGAAAGGGCAGCAGUUUAGAUCUGGGUGAUGUGAACCAAGAUGAGGUAAUUGAGGUUGCACAAUGGUGGUUAUGGUUAAAGUUUUUGGGGUAAGCACCCGAAAAUCCCUUUCAGACAGCUUCCUCUUACAGCUUCCACAGUUAAUCCUGUUGGAUGUGGUUGGUUCUUCUUGGUGGUAUGCUGACAUUACCCUGGAUACCGUGGCUCUUGAUACAUCACAAAGACUUGCUGUCUUGGUCACAGAUGCUCCAGCAAGACGUGCACCAACAAUUUGUCCUCUUUUGAACUCUGGUAUGUCACCCAUAAUGUUGUGUGCAUUGCAACAUUUUGAGCAGAACUGUGCUCUUACCCUGCUAAUUGAACCUUCACACUCUGCUCUUACUGGUGCAAUGUGCAAUUAAUGAAGAUUGAACACCAGGCUGCUCCAAUUUAGCCAUGAUGAAAACUCCCACACUAAAAUGACAGGUGUUUCAGUUUCAUUGUCCAACCCCUGUACUUUGCUUUAAUUGAUAUAUUGUAUAUAAAUUGUUCUAUGGCCACAUAAUGGGCUCUCCAUGCUAACAAAAUACAUUUUUAAAUCAAUUUGACAUUUAAAAAUUUUGACUUAAUUUUGUCCAUUUGGCAUUUGGUUUCCUAAAGAGUUUCCAUCAGUUUUUUUCCAAAUUUUAAUUUUAGUCAAAUAAGCAAAAAAAAGGAAUUUUCUUUGAUUUUUCCUUUUUUUUUUUCUCUUUUUUUUUUUUAUAAACAAAAGUAGGUUGGAUUAUAGCGCUAGGUUUUCUGAACUUUUAACAUUUAACACCCAGAAGUACUUUAUAGGCAAGUCAGUCCUCUCAAUGGCUGUGUUUGCAGUGCCAAUAGGCAGUUAUCUAAAAUCAGAUAAGAUCAGUUGCUUAUCUCUUUGAAUGGAAGACACCAAAGUUUGCAAAACUGAAGAUCAAAUUAGUAUUUUAACAUGUUUAAAAUCUGACAAAACCUUCUUAAAUCGUUAGUAGUAUUUGACUCUAUAAUGUUAUGGCUGCUGCGGUUGCGCAGAUCUCCUUAUCUCUGCCACACCAAGCAAACUGGUUGGCUCUUUUAGAAACUUUAGACAACUGAAGCAUCAGGGAGAUGUUCCAUGAUUGUUUAAAAAAAAAAGGCCUUUAUUGAGCAUUUGCCAUAUGUUGCUCUUUCUCUUCAUAUCGUCCUAAAUAAGUGCCGCUUUUAUUUUUAUGUUUUGGUUCAUUUUGCUUUAUGGUUGCUGGAAUCUGGUGGAAUGUUAAUUCUAGUCCAUUCACAUCGUUUACAUUCAUUACAGCUUUAGGAAAAUCUGGAGCUCAAGCAGUUUAAUGUUCAAGAUUUGACUAGAAGGCCUUGUUUGGAAGCUGGUUUCUCUUUAAGCUUUAUUUUAAUGCAGCUUUUUGACCUUUUUGGCAUUUUUUGGUGGGGUUACAACCCUUCAAAACACGUGGAGAACACUGUUGAGCUUCAGGGUUUAGAGGAACACUUGGUCUUAAGUUGGACUAAAACCUAUUGGUUUCUGUUGGUUUCUAAAGUGAGUUGUGUCCAUACUAAUCAUCUGCAUGCUAAAGAUUAGCCUGUAACGACUACCUGGCUGGAAUCUUCCUGAAAUCUCCAACAAUGGCUCUGUCUGUGUAUAUUAAUAACUAGAAUGCAUGCUAAUGAUACAGUAUAACACCCAGGCUUUGAACCUGAAACAGAACAAUAUACCGACUGUAACACCUGAGGCCUUUUAUAUUAGUGUAGAUUGAACAAUAGUAGUAAGAUAACUGGGCACGUUCAGACGAGACCACAUCGUAAACCAUCGUCUUUUCUACGUCUAUCUGUUUGUACGCUGACGUUUCUCAAUCUAUGUAGAGCUGUUUUCACACUGAACGCUUGGUAUGUCUUAGCCUCAGCGCUAAUGUGCUAGCGAGGAAUGCUAACUGACACCCAUAAGUCCUUAUAGGAGUCCUUAUAGUUCACUCACAGUUAUCUAAAAUCAAAAACAAAAGGGCAGGACUUUAUCCUAUUAAGCAUUUAGAGAACUUUUUAUUCACAUUUCUUCCAGUGGCUUGUCCCCUCAUUAAUAUCGUCUCUAACGGUGAUGGUUCAAAUCCUGCUUAUGCAGCUUGCCAUCUUCUGCUGGAGCCCUGAGAGAGCACAGUUGGCCUUGCUCUCUCUGGGUGGCGCUCUUUGCUCUCAUCACUCCUAGGGUGAUGUGGAUCAGCACAAGGCUGCGUCUGUGAGAUGAUGUAUCAGAACAGAGUCGCUGCGCUUUCCUCCGAGUGUGCUGUGAUGCUUCUCAGCAGUUCAAAAAGAAAGAGGCGGAGUCUGACUUCACAUGUGUUGAAGGAGGCAUGUGCUUGCCUUCACUCUGUGUUGUAGAAUCACUAGUGAUGGGGUAUAUAGAGCUAAGCUGAACUGGUGGGACAUUGGCCUAGCUAAAUUGGGGACAAAAACAGAGAGAUACUUAGAAAUUAAUCUUUAAAACAUUAAAUAAAUCGUGUCUAACAACUUUGCAAACUGAUUUAAUACAUGUUUAAUACCACAUGUUUGGAAAAAUAAAACCCCAGAUAAAAACUUUUCCAUAUUUAUAAUCUUAAAGGGACCUUCCAGCCACACCUACUGCUCAUGCUUCUCAUGCUUCUUACUUCAUCAGCAGCCAAAGUCCGAGAGAGAGAGAACAGUUUCUCAUGCAACGAUUACAAGUUUGAAUCCCAAAUUUUAGUCAUGCUUCUACUCCAUCAGCAGCCGGAGUCAGAGAGAGAGUGAGAGAAAACACAGUUUAUCAUGCAACGAUUACAUGUUUGAAUCCUAAAUUUUAGUCAUGCUUCUACUCCAUCAGCAGCCAAAGUCCGAGAGAGAGAGAACAGUUUAUCAUGCAACGAUUACAUGUUUGAAUCCUAAAUUUUAGUCAUGCUUCUACUCCAUCAGCAGCCGGAGUCCGAGAGAGACAAAGAAAACAGUUUCUCAUGCAACGAUAACAAGUUUGAAUCCCAAAUUUUAGUCAUGCUUCUACUCCAUCAGCAGCCGGAGUCAGAGAGAGAGUGAGAGAAAACACAGUUUAUCAUGCAACGAUUACAAGUUUGAAUCCUAAAUUUAAGUCAUGCUUCUAGUGCAUCAGCAGCCGGAGUCCGAGAGAGAGAGAGAGAGAGAGAGAGAGAGAGAGAGCCCACAGUUUAUCAUGCCAAUCACUCCUUGUGUGAUGCUGGUCAGCACAGGCAUCUAUCUGUUAUCUGAUAAAUCACCUUUGUGUUUUGUGAUGCUAACUAAUAAAUCUGCUAUUGCUAUUGGUCGCAGUUAGAAAAGAGGCGGGAUCUGACUUCACAUGUAUCGGAGGAGGCAUGCGCUUGUCCAUUUAGAUCUUUAAAAAAAAUCAGUGUCUGAAAAUACUGUUACUUCGUGCGUUCAGUGUGAAAGCAGCUGAAGGCUGACUCCUACCGCCAUGUCUGUGAACUUUUUUUUUUUUUUUUUUUUACACGUCCAGCAACUUGAGCACUUUUAAGAUCGUACCUUUAAAGUCUUAUUUACGUACUAUAUAAAUAUAUAUAAGCAAUAACUCAAAGCGGUUAAAGGUACAGCGAGGAAUGUUGUUUUUUUCGCUUGUAGAUUGUUAGUAGUGUUUUCAGAUCAUGAGCCUUUGCUUCUAACCAGCAGAUACCGAUGAAAAUUUUAUUAUUGUAAUAUUCUGUCAGAUUAUAUAUAUUGUACCUUUAAUCUUGGGUGUUUAAAUGUUGUAAGGAAAGCAGCUUCAGGGGAAGCUUUACAUUUUGUUUCGUUUUGUUUGAUUUUUGUUUGCAUAAGGAAGUAGAGAGAUGGGGUCCAGUCACUGGCCAGUACUGACUGAAACGUCCAAAGAAAAUAUAUAUAUAUAUAUAAAAAAAAAAAACACGAAACGGGUCAUUUAUCUGGCGGCGUAAGCUCUGAAGCUCUGGCACAUUUCUGUCCUGUAUUUUAUGGUGUGUUGUCAAAUCCGUUGCUUUAUGAUCCAAAAGCAAAAACAGUACGUAUGUAUAUCAUUGCCUUUUCUUUUUCUUUCUGUUGAUUUCAGAACUAAUCCAUUGUUUUAAGAGGACGAUUCAUGCAAAGGUAUUUGCAAUAAAAACUAUUUUAUAUACAAGCGAAUGGUAAAGGGGGGAAUCUAUAUAUUAUGAGAAUCUAAAAAUGCUAUAUAUGGUUUAUUUAAAGACAAAAAAAAAAGUUAAAUAAAUGAACACUACAGACAUGUCUGCUGUAUCGAUCAGAGCUUCAGCAUUCCCAUACAUGCACACUUCCAAAGUGAUUUGGAACUGCAUACUGUUGUAGAAUACAGUGGAGAAUAAAAUAAACGAAUAAAGUUUUCACUGAGGAAACUGUG